rnacentral:rRNA from 1 species
GAUGAACGCUAGCUACAGGCUUAACACAUGCAAGUCGAGGGGAAACGACAUCGAAAGCUUGCUUUUGAUGGGCGUCGACCGGCGCACGGGUGAGUAACGCGUAUCCAACCUGCCCAUCACUUGGGAAUAACCUUGCGAAAGUAAGACUAAUACCCAAUGAUAUCCCACGAAGGCAUCGGAAUGGGAUUAAAGAUUUAUCGGUGAUGGAUGGGGAUGCGUCUGAUUAGCUUGUUGGCGGGGUAACGGCCCACCAAGGCAACGAUCAGUAGGGGUUCUGAGAGGAAGGUCCCCCACAUUGGAACUGAGACACGGUCCAAACUCCUACGGGAGGCAGCAGUGAGGAAUAUUGGUCAAUGGGCGAGAGCCUGAACCAGCCAAGUAGCGUGCAGGAAGACGGCCCUAUGGGUUGUAAACUGCUUUUAUAAGGGAAUAAAGUGGGUCACGUGUGACUUUUUGCAUGUACCUUAUGAAUAAAGACCGGCGAAUUCCGU